GAUGAACGCUAGCUACAGGCUUAACACAUGCAAGUCGAGGGGAAACGGCAUUGAGUGCUUGCACUCUUUGGACGUCGACCGGCGCACGGGUGAGUAACGCGUAUCCAACCUUCCCAUUACUGUGGGAUAACCUGCCGAAAGGCAGACUAAUACCGCAUAGUCUUCGAUGACGGCAUCAGAUUUGAAGUAAAGAUUUAUCGGUAAUGGAUGGGGAUGCGUCUGAUUAGCUUGUUGGCGGGGUAACGGCCCACCAAGGCAACGAUCAGUAGGGGUUCUGAGAGGAAGGUCCCCCACAUUGGAACUGAGACACGGUCCAAACUCCUACGGGAGGCAGCAGUGAGGAAUAUUGGUCAAUGGACGGAAGUCUGAACCAGCCAAGUAGCGUGCAGGAUGACGGCCCUAUGGGUUGUAAACUGCUUUUGUAUGGGGAUAAAGUUAGGGACGUGUCCCUAUUUGCAGGUACCAUACGAAUAAGGACCGGCUAAUUCCGUGCCAGCAGCCGCGGUAAUACGGAAGGUCCAGGCGUUAUCCGGAUUUAUUGGGUUUAAAGGGAGCGUAGGCUGGAGAUUAAGUGUGUUGUGAAAUGUAGACGCUCAACGUCUGAAUUGCAGCGCAUACUGGUUUCCUUGAGUACGCACAACGUUGGCGGAAUUCGUCGUGUAGCGGUGAAAUGCUUAGAUAUGACGAAGAACUCCGAUUGCGAAGGCAGCUGACGGGAGCGCAACUGACGCUUAAGCUCGAAGGUGCGGGUAUCAAACAGG
rnacentral:rRNA from 1 species